GAGUGGCGAAAGGGCGAGUAAUGCAUGGGCAAUCUAUCCUUGAGUUCGGGAUAACUCAGCGAAAGUUGAGCUAAUACCGGAUGUGGUUACGGCGGGGCAUCCUGCCGUUACUAAAGAUGGGGCUCCUUCGGGACCUGUCGCUCUUGGCGGAGCCCGUGUGCCAUCAGCUUGUUGGUGAGGUAACGGCUCACCAAGGCUUACGGCUAGCUGGUCUGAGAGGACGAUCAGCCGCACUGGGACUGAGACACUGCCCAGACUCCUACGGGAGGCUGCAGUCGAGGAUCAUUCGCAAUGCGCGAAAGCGUGACGAUGCGACGCUGCGUGGAGGACGACGGCCUUCGGGUUGUAAACUCCUGUCAUGGGGGAAAAAUGUAUUGGAUGUUAACAGCAUCUGGUAUUUGAUGGUACCCCAAGAGGAAGCCACGGCUAACUCUGUGCCAGCAGCCGCGGUAAUACAGAGGUGGCGAGCGUUGUUCGGAUUUACUGGGCGUAAAGGGCGCGUAGGCGGCAUUGUGUGUCGUAUGUGAAAUCCCCGGGCUCAACCCGGGAAGUGCAUGCGAAACUGCAGUGCUAGAGCAGAGGAGGGGAGAGCGGAAUUCAUGGUGUAGCGGUGAAAUGCGUUGAUAUCAUGAGGAACACCCGAGGCGAAGGCGGCUCUCUGGAAUCUUGCUGACGCUCAGGCGCGAAAGCCGGGGGAGCAAACAGGAUUAGAUACCCUGGUAGUCCCGGCCCUAAACGGUGCACACUUGGCGUGGGGGGCUUCACCCCCUCCGUGCCGGAGCUAACGUGUUAAGUGUGCCGCCUGGGGAGUACGGCCGCAAGGCUAAAACUCAAAGAAAUUGACGGGGGCCCGCACAAGCGGAGGAGCAUGUGGCUUAAUUCGAUGCAACGCGAAGAACCUUACCCGGGUUUGACAUGUAACUGCACAUCCUGUGAAAGCAGGAUUCCUUCGAGGGUGUUACACAGGUGCUGCAUGGCUGUCGUCAGUUCGUGCCGUGAGGUGUUUGGUUAAGUCCAGCAACGAACGCAACUCCUGUGUCCAAUUGCCAGCGAGUAAUGUCGGGAACUUUGGACAGACUGCCUGUUUACGCAGGAGGAAGGUGGGGACGACGUCAAGUCAGUAUGGCCCUUACAUCCGGGGCUGCACACGUGCUACAAUGGUCGGUACAAUGGGACGCUAAGCCGCGAGGUGGCGCAAAUCCCCAGAGCCGGCCCCAGUUCAGAUUGCGGUCUGCAAUUCGACCGCAUGAAGUCGGAUUCGCUAGUAACGGCGUAUCAGCUACGACGCCGUGAAUACGUUCCCGGGCCUUGUACACACCGCCCGUCACAUCAUGAAAGCCGUCUGCACCCGAAGCCGCCCGGCCAACCCGCAAGGGGGGCAG
rnacentral:rRNA from 1 species